GUCCCACUAUACACCACACGGACCUUAUCCCCUUUCUUCUCCAUCGAUUUCUUCUCCACCGAAACAGAAAUAGCUCCCAUGCUCUUCUCCACACACCACGGCAAAAACUCCAUGGAUCCCCACCUCUUCCCAUCUCCUUUUAAUCCUGCCUCAUGUGCCGUCUGCUCCUCGCGCAGGCCGUCGAGCUAAUUUUUGCCAGCGGGAGCGCCGUUCCCUAUUUCUCACUGCUUUUCUUGUGUGCAGGGACGCGCGGAGCGGUCACCGCCUGUGCUAUGAACCGGCGACGUCUUGCUACUACGAGCGGUGACCGACGAGGUGCGGGACGACCAGCGGCGACGCGAGGUGCGGCGGUGCUCCAACCGCAUGCACGCAAAGCUGGAACCGGCGUUCCGAGGUGCUACAACCGGCAUGCGGCCAUGCUACAAUCAACGCGCGGCGGCGACGACCACUACUGGCGAUUUGCUACAACCGCGGUGUCGACAGUUGCAACCGGUGACAAGAAAUGCUACAACCGGCCAUCCAUUUGCUGGAACCGGUAUCAGUUUUUGCUGCCGUCGGCCACCGAUUUGCUGGAACCAGAUGCGUACUCAUCGUCAACGUGCGAUAUUUGCUGGAACCAGUGUAUGUUUUUGCUGGAACUAGCUUUUCCUUUUGCUACAAUCUUUUUUUGUUUGCUACAAUAGAACCAAUUCGAGUCUCCCUUCAGAGUUAUUUUGCUGGAACCAACGUUUUUUUUGCUGGAACUAGCAAUUUUUUUUGCUACAAUCAACCACCGAAGUUUUCUUUGUUGAGGUUAAUUUUGCUGGAACCGGUGUGUUUUUUGCUGGAACCUUAUAAUGAAUUUGCUUCAAACCGGCCACUGAGGAUUUUGUUAGUUUUUGCUGGACACCGACUACCGCGGCGAGCCGGAGGUGGACCGCGGCGAACCGGAGGCGGGGCUACGCUAGGGAUGCUGCAACCAUGGCACCCGUGAGCUGGAUCUGGUUGUUUUUAGAGCUUCAUCCUUAAUGAAUCGCCUCUGGAAUCAAUCGCGGCCGUUAUGCAAUUCCGGCGGCCAAGGGGCGGGACCUCGUGGGAGCUCGCGGGGAACGGCCACAACGGCGAUGAGGAUGGGUGGUGGUGGUGUGCCCGAGGAUGGGCGGGACCUCGUCUUGUUUUUCUGUCGAGCAGUGCUAGGAAGAAGACGACACAGAUGGGUCAAAUCCAACAGCUACGCAUGAUUUGAUCGGGUGGCUGUGCGUCGACCGGCCCAAAUUUGGGCCGGUGCACCGGCGCCUAGCACUACCCUUUAUUAUUUUGACCUCUGAAAGAAUAGAGAAUGGAAUUCAAACGCGCAUUCUAUUACCUUAACUGAAAGUUCCAAGGUCCAACAAGCUAGGAAGAACGAUUCAAGUAACUGAAGUGCACGUAUUGAGCAGGCCACCGAUUCAGACCAAAAUCCCCCGCGUAGGGGAGAAAAAACAAAUAUUACCACCAGGAAAUUCUUCCUUCCUCGCGUUUGAAUCCUGCAGAACAGGUCAGAAACUUGGCGCCAAAGGUCAUGCAUGCUCCUCCAAGCGAGAACACAGGCCUUGAAACCUUGCAAACGGCAUGAACACUGCCGAAACAGUGCGUGCGACUCUGAACCCCAGCGAUGCCUAUAUAAGCAAGCUCACCCAUGGCAUGAUUUCUCCAAAUCAACCGAAGCCCAUCUGGUUUAGCGCCAGAACUGCUGACAUUUGAAAUACUACGAGACAAGUCUCUCUCC
rnacentral:rRNA from 1 species